rnacentral:rRNA from 1 species
CAGCAGCCGCGGUAAUACCGAGGAUGCAAGCGUUAUCCGGAAUGAUUGGGUGUAAAGCGUCUGUAGGUGGCUUUUCAAGUCCGCCGUCAAAUCCCAGGGCUCAACCCUGGACAGGCGGUGGAAACUACCAAGCUGGAGUACGGUAGGGGCAGAGGGAAUUUCCAGUGGAGCGGUGAAAUGCGUUGAGAUCGAAAAGAACACCAACGACGAAAGCACUCUGCUGGGUCGACACUGACACUGAGAGACGAAAGCUAGGGGAGCAAAUGGGAUUAGAUACCCCCGUAGUCCCUGUCUCUUAUAC